rnacentral:rRNA from 1 species
UUAAGUUAGAAAGGGCGCACGGUGGAUGCCUUGACACUAGGAGUCGAUGAAGGACGGGACUAACGCCGAUAUGCUUCGGGGAGCUGUAAGUAAGCUUUGAUCCGAAGAUUUCCGAAUGGGGAAACCCACCAUACGUAAUGGUAUGGUAUCCUUAUCUGAAUACAUAGGGUAAGGAAGACAGACCCAGGGAACUGAAACAUCUAAGUACCUGGAGGAAGAGAAAGCAAAUGCGAUUUCCUGAGUAGCGGCGAGCGAAACGGAACAUAGCCCAAACCAAGAGGCUUGCCUCUUGGGGUUGUAGGACAUUCUAUACGGAGUUACAAAGGAACGAGGUAGACGAAGCGACCUGGAAAGGUCCGUCGUAGAGGGUAACAACCCCGUAGUCGAAACUUCGUUCUCUCUUGAAUGUAUCCUGAGUACGGCGGAACACGUGAAAUUCCGUCGGAAUCUGGGAGGACCAUCUCCCAAGGCUAAAUACUCCCUAGUGAUCGAUAGUGAACCAGUACCGUGAGGGAAAGGUGAAAAGCACCCCGGAAGGGGAGUGAAAGAGAUCCUGAAACCGUGUGCCUACAAAUAGUCAGAGCCCGUUAAUGGGUGAUGGCGUGCCUUUUGUAGAAUGAACCGGCGAGUUACGAUCCCGUGCGAGGUUAAGUUGAAGAGGCGGAGCCGCAGCGAAAGCGAGUCUGAAUAGGGCGUUUAGUACGUGGUCGUAGACCCGAAACCAGGUGAUCUACCCAUGUCCAGGGUGAAGUUCAGGUAACACUGAAUGGAGGCCCGAACCCACGCACGUUGAAAAGUGCGGGGAUGAGGUGUGGGUAGCGGAGAAAUUCCAAUCGAACCUGGAGAUAGCUGGUUCUCCCCGAAAUAGCUUUAGGGCUAGCCUUAAGUGUAAGAGUCUUGGAGGUAGAGCACUGAUUGGACUAGGGGUCCUCAUCGGAUUACCGAAUUCAGUCAAACUCCGAAUGCCAAUGACUUAUCCUUAGGAGUCAGACUGCGAGUGAUAAGAUCCGUAGUCAAAAGGGAAACAGCCCAGACCGCCAGCUAAGGUCCCAAAGUGUGUAUUAAGUGGAAAAGGAUGUGGAGUUGCUUAGACAACUAGGAUGUUGGCUUAGAAGCAGCCACCAUUUAAAGAGUGCGUAAUAGCUCACUAGUCGAGUGACUCUGCGCCGAAAAUGUACCGGGGCUAAAUACACCACCGAAGCUGCGGAUUGAUACCAAUGGUAUCAGUGGUAGGGGAGCGUUCUAAGGACAGUGAAGUCAGACCGGAAGGACUGGUGGAGUGCUUAGAAGUGAGAAUGCCGGUAUGAGUAGCGAAAGACGGGUGAGAAUCCCGUCCACCGAAUGCCUAAGGUUUCCUGAGGAAGGCUCGUCCGCUCAGGGUUAGUCAGGACCUAAGCCGAGGCCGACAGGCGUAGGCGAUGGACAACAGGUUGAUAUUCCUGUACCACCUCUUUAUCGUUUGAGCAAUGGAGGGACGCAGAAGGAUAGAAGAAGCGUGCGAUUGGUUGUGCACGUCCAAGCAGUUAGGCUGAUAAGUAGGCAAAUCCGCUUAUCGUGUAUGCUGAGCUGUGAUGGGGAAGCUCCUUAUGGAGCGAAGUCUUUGAUUCCCCGCUGCCAAGAAAAGCUUCUAGCGAGAUAAAAGGUGCCUGUACCGCAAACCGACACAGGUAGGCGAGGAGAGAAUCCUAAGGUGUGCGAGAGAACUCUGGUUAAGGAACUCGGCAAAAUGACCCCGUAACUUCGGGAGAAGGGGUGCUUUCUUAACGGAAAGCCGCAGUGAAUAGGCCCAAGCGACUGUUUAGCAAAAACACAGCUCUCUGCGAAGCCGUAAGGCGAAGUAUAGGGGGUGACACCUGCCCGGUGCUGGAAGGUUAAGGAGAGGGGUUAGCGUAAGCGAAGCUCUGAACUGAAGCCCCAGUAAACGGCGGCCGUAACUAUAACGGUCCUAAGGUAGCGAAAUUCCUUGUCGGGUAAGUUCCGACCCGCACGAAAGGUGUAACGAUUUGGGCACUGUCUCAACCAGAGACUCGGUGAAAUUAUAGUACCUGUGAAGAUGCAGGUUACCCGCGACAGGACGGAAAGACCCCGUGGAGCUUUACUGUAGCCUGAUAUUGAAUUUUGGUACAGUUUGUACAGGAUAGGCGGGAGCCAUUGAAACCGGAGCGCUAGCUUCGGUGGAGGCGCUGGUGGGAUACCGCCCUGACUGUAUUGAAAUUCUAACCUACGGGUCUUAUCGACCCGGGAGACAGUGUCAGGUGGGCAGUUUGACUGGGGCGGUCGCCUCCUAAAGUGUAACGGAGGCGCCCAAAGGUUCCCUCAGAAUGGUUGGAAAUCAUUCGUAGAGUGCAAAGGCAUAAGGGAGCUUGACUGCGAGACCUACAAGUCGAGCAGGGACGAAAGUCGGGCUUAGUGAUCCGGUGGUUCCGCAUGGAAGGGCCAUCGCUCAACGGAUAAAAGCUACCCCGGGGAUAACAGGCUUAUCUCCCCCAAGAGUCCACAUCGACGGGGAGGUUUGGCACCUCGAUGUCGGCUCAUCGCAUCCUGGGGCUGUAGUCGGUCCCAAGGGUUGGGCUGUUCGCCCAUUAAAGCGGUACGCGAGCUGGGUUCAGAACGUCGUGAGACAGUUCGGUCCCUAUCCGUCGUGGGCGUAGGAAAUUUGAGAGGAGCUGUCCUUAGUACGAGAGGACCGGGAUGGACGCACCGCUGGUGUACCAGUUGUUCUGCCAAGGGCAUAGCUGGGUAGCUAUGUGCGGAAGGGAUAAGUGCUGAAAGCAUCUAAGCAUGAAGCCCCCCUCAAGAUGAGAUUUCCCAUAGCGUAAGCUAGUAAGAUCCCUGAAAGAUGAUCAGGUUGAUAGGUUCGAGGUGGAAGCAUGGUGACAUGUGGAGCUGACGAAUACUAAUAGAUCGAGGACUUAACCAU